CUAAGGCUGAGAGGUGAUUUGAUCAAGGUCACAUAGCAAGCAUUGGAUGGAGGUCUAGAAUCCAGGAUUUGACUAUUAAAGAGCAGAAUGAAGAAAAGGCGGAGAUGGAAUAAAGACUGCUCUAGAUUGUGAACUACCAGAAGGCAGGGACUGGAUCUGUCUUCCUCAUGCUGUGUCCCCAGCCCAGGAUGUGCAUGUUACAAUUUGUAGGAUGGAUAAAUUAAUGAACAAAAAGAGUUUAGGAUGGAGCCAGCCAUCAAACAGAAGUCUCCAGUGGAAUGAGCCAGUGUUGAGACUUUGAAAAACAAAGAUCAAUCUGAAGUUCAAAGAGGGGAAGAAAAAGGUAUGUUCCUAGUUAAAUGCACCAUGUUGAACUGAAGACUCAGAAAAGUUCUUUUCAUUUUAUUUUAUGUUGGACUGACUUUUAAGAAAAUAAUCUUGGAAGUGUUUAUUUUAUAACUCUAACAGCGUCCAAGAAAUUGUGGACAGCCAAACUCUGAAAGAGCACAGUUGUGAAUAGAACUUAUUUUCAGUAAGUAGAAAGCCCUUUCCUGUCCUGGACUUACAUGACUAUAGUGAAACUGUCCCCCUAAAAGAGGACAAAAGAUACUGUCAACUGGGUAAGGUCUCCUGAGCUAAGAAGUCCUUCCUCUGAUGCCUCUUCUUGAAUUUGACUAUUUGAAAGCUCAUUUCUUUUAUUGAAAUAUGGGAGAGAAAGCAUAUUUCUUGGCUAGUAUUACAGCCUAGAUUAUGAUUUGGUGAUUUGGGGAAAAGGAUGUUACCUUAGACCAGAAUAGACAAUUUGUGUUUUGUGGCAUUGAUGACAUGUAUUAGCAUGGUAUUUGUACUCUCUCUGUGACUUGUUUGAUAUUUAAGAAGUUUUAACCCAACAAACAUUCUGUAGAUCUUUGCUUCUACUAUCUAGAUUUGUCCAAGAUAUAACUUUAGAUAGUAUAACAGUCAAUGUAUGUGUGUGUGUAUGUUGUUGACAUCUAAAAGGCACAGAAAAUAUCU